rnacentral:rRNA from 2 species
AAGCGGAGGAAAAGAAACCAACAGGGAUUGCCCUAGUAACGGCGAGUGAAGCGGCAAUAGCUCAAAUUUGAAAUCUGGCCUCGGCCCGAGUUGUAAUUUGCAGAGGAUGUUUCUGGCGCGGUGCCUUCCGAGUUCCCUGGAACGGGACGCCACAGAGGGUGAGAGCCCCGUAUGGUUGGACACUAAGCCUGUGUGAAACUCCUUCGACGAGUCGAGUAGUUUGGGAAUGCUGCUCAAAAUGGGAGGUAAAUCUCUUCUAAAGCUAAAUACCGGCCAGAGACCGAUAGCGCACAAGUAGAGUGAUCGAAAGAUGAAAAGCACCUUGAAAAGGGGGUUAAACAGUACGUGAAAUUGUUGAAAGGGAAGCGCUUGUGACCAGACUUGCGCCGGGCGGCUCAUCCGGGGUUCUCCCCGGUGCACUCCGCCCGGCUCAGGCCAGCAUCGGUUCUCGUUGGGGGAUAAGAACGGCAGGAACGUGGCCCUCCUUCGGGUGGGUGUUAUAGCCUGCCGUACGAUACCCUGACGGGGACCGAGGUUCGCGCUCCGCAAGGAUGCUGGCGUAAUGGUCAUCAGCGACCCGUCUUGAAACACGGACCAAGGAGUCGUCCAUUAGAGCGAGCGUUUGGGUGUCAAACCCGCACGCGUAAUGAAAGUGAAAUUAGGUGAGAGCUUCGGCGCAUCAUCGACCGAUCCUGAUGUUCUCGGAUGGAUUUGAGUAAGAGUUUUAACGGACGGACCCGAAAGACAGUGAACUAUGCUUGUAUAGGGUGAAGCCAGAGGAAACUCUGGUGGAGGCUCGCAGCGGUUCUGACGUGCAAAUCGAUCGUCAAAUAUGAGCAUGGGGGCGAAAGACUAAUCGAA